GUUCACCAGGGAGAUUAGUUUCAGAGAUAGCGUUGUAAUGAGGUGGAAAAUGGUUACGUUGAUAACAAAAUGGACAGAUCCAGAUCUUAGCGGUGAAAUCAACGCGGGAGUAAGGGUUGAGAAUGGAGGUGCAGGUUUUGCAACGGAGGGGUGCAUAAGGAAGACUGGGGAUAUCGGGAUGAGAACGGAUGAGGGAGAUUGUGGCGGCGAGUGGGAUAACGCAUUUGGAGGAUUCUACUUUGCUACGUGGCCAGACGUUCCAUGUCAUACGGACUCCGUCGAUUCCCUCGGGAUCUGUGUUCGCCAUCUCCGACAUCGUUGAUGAUGAAGAAUUUCACCGAUUUGAUUUUGAUGAAUUUUCAGAACGAUGAUGAUGCAAAGGUUAUACACAGACAAAGAAACACACCCUUUGCACAAUUAUGUUAAACAACGCACAUUCAACGAUCAUUCACCUUUUCA
rnacentral:lncRNA from 1 species